rnacentral:tRNA from 1 species
GGGAUCAUAGCUCAGCUGGUUCAGAGCACCUGCCUUACAAGCAGGGGGUCACAGGUUCGAAUCCUGUUGAUCCCA